GACAGAGAGUGCAAACGUUGCUCGGAAUCACUGGGCGUAAAGGGCGUGUAGGCGGGAAGGAAAGUCAGAUGUGAAAUCCCUGGGCUCAACCCAGGAACUGCAUUUGAAAUUCCCUUUCUUGAGUGUCGGAGAGGAGAGCGGAAUUCCUGGUGUAGAGGUGAAAUUCGUAGAUAUCAGGAGGAACACCGGUGGCGAAGGCGGCUCUCUGGACGAUAACUGACGCUGAGACGCGAAAGCGUGGGGAGCAAACAGG
rnacentral:rRNA from 1 species